rnacentral:tRNA from 1 species
GGCGAUGUGACCGAGUGGCAGGUGGGAGCUUGCAACGCUUCUUACGGUGGUUCGAAUCCACCCAUCGCCU